UGUAAAAGAAACAUGAUGAACUGAUUCUAACAUCUGAUCCAGUCAAACUGGUUUAAAGAGUCCAAACCAGCAAAACCAGAACAUUUUAUCAUGACGUGUUUGAACAUUUCAGUUGGGCCUUUAGUGGUUCUGGACUGGAAUUAAAUGGACUUUCAGAACCAAACUGUGACAUCACAGCAUGAGGAAGGGGAGAUGGGGGGGGGUCUCUUUAAUGAGCAGAUGGCCAAGUUAAGGAGGCAGGUGAGGUCAGAGGUCAUCCUCAAGGUUGUCCACAGCAGCUGCCUCACAUGUGAAACCAAAGGAGCUGAAUAGGCAACGUCUGCUCCUCCAGCGGCUCCAAAGAUCAGCUCCUGGUCCGCUCUACUGGUACCGCUCAAUAAUUACAAUGUGGAGUUACAGUGAAAUAUUUACUGCCAGGCAGCUCAGAAAGUCAAACACUGAUUUUAUAGAGAUUCAUCACACAGAGGAAAAGAUUUCAAGAUUUUAUUUUGUUUUAAUGAUUCUGGCUGACAGAUAAAGAAAACCCAAAAUUCAGUUUCUCAGAAAAUCAGAAUCUCACAUCAGACCAAUCAGAAAGGACGUUUGAAGCACAAAUGUUAGAGUUAUGAAAGUUUGUCCCUCUCUGCUCUCAGUACUUGGUUGUUCUCUUGUGUCAUGGAUUACUGCAUCAAUGCAAUGUGGCAUGGAGGCCAUCAACCUGCAGCACUGCAGUAAUGAAGCCCAGAUUAAUUAAUGCAUCAAUCAACCUUUAUUCAAGUUUUACAAAUCAAUAAAGGAAAAACACUCAACAUUGUCUUGUAUAGAAACUCUAAGACCACUAAGACUUCUUAAAAUAUAGAGUCUCUGAGAACAUUUCUUAAAAAUACAGUCAAUGUUUUCAGCAAAGUUGAGCUGACUGUCCAGGAAUGACCCAAAGUAUUUAAAAUUUGCCACAGUUUCAACAAGUUAGCCAUCGUGUCAGGGAUCGGGGUGUUUGGGGUUUCCUUGUUGCAUCUAGGUUUGUCCACCAGGAGGCAUCAAGACUCUUUGUUUUACCUGGGAGAGCCUGUUGCGGCUCAGCUCACCUGAACCCAAUUACCUCAUCCUACUGGGAGUACAAGAGGAGAUGACCGCCAGUACCUCUUCGCUUGAGUGUUAGCCAGUUACGGUACCUCUGAGCCUCCUAGAGAAUUUUCCUUCUCUGAGCCUUCCUCGUAGAUCGUCCUGAGUAAUUUGUUCGUUGUCUUUCCUGCCUUCAAGGUUUAUCUUCCUGUGACGCUCAAGAUCCUCCACAGACGAUCUCCACUGGUGAUUUCUGGAAACCUCCUCCUUGUGACGCCGCGGGUCUUACCCGCUGGUUGCCCGAGUCCACUCUCACUUCCUCCGUCGAUCGCUGAUGGUCCUGGACUCCUUCCCCGCUGGUGGUCUUCGCUCUUCGGUCUCCUGGUGCUCCCGCUCUUACCUGUCCGUCCUCCCCCCCACGUCUGCCCACCUCCGUGCAGAUCCGCUACGGCUGUAGCCUCUGCUUCCUGGAACACGGACUGUCAGCCUACGUAAGCCCCGACUCCUCAGCCGAACCCCUUCCCUGGAUUGGCCGCCUGCCUCACAAUGAGCCGACUGUUCCGUGGAUCCAUCCUGAGGAUUUCCUCCCUCUAUUCCUCAUUAUCCACCCUUGUUAUAAUAAACAUCUUUAACUGA